AUUGAACGCUGGCGGCAUGCCUUACACAUGCAAGUCGAACGGCAGCGGGGGAGAAGCUUGCUUUUCCUGCCGGCGAGUGGCGAACGGGUGAGUAAUACAUCGGAACGUGCCCUGUAGUGGGGGAUCACUAGUCGAAAGAUUAGCUAAUACCGCAUACGACCUGAGGGUGAAAGUGGGGGACCGCAAGGCCUCCUGGUAUAGGAGCGGCCGAUGUCUGAUUAGCUAGUUGGUGGGGUAAAGGCCUACCAAGGCGACGAUCAGUAGCUGGUCUGAGAGGACGAUCAGCCACACUGGGACUGAGACACGGCCCAGACUCCUACGGGAGGCAGCAGUGGGGAAUUUUGGACAAUGGGCGAAAGCCUGAUCCAGCAAUGCCGCGUGUGUGAAGAAGGCCUUCGGGUUGUAAAGCACUUUUGUCCGGAAAGAAAUGGCUCUGGUUAAUACCUGGGGUCGAUGACGGUACCGGAAGAAUAAGGACCGGCUAACUACGUGCCAGCCGCCGCAGUAA
rnacentral:rRNA from 1 species